CCUACGGGGGGCUGCAGUGGGGAAUAUUGGACAAUGGGCGAAAGCCUGAUCCAGCCAUGCCGCGUGUGUGAAGAAGGCCUUCGGGUUGUAAAGCACUUUCAGUGGGGAAGAAAGCCUUGGGGCUAAUACCCUCGAGGAAGGACAUCACCCACAGAAGAAGCACCGGCUAACUCCGUGCCAGUAGCCGCGGUAAUACGGAGGGUGCGAGCGUUAAUCGGAAUUACUGGGCGUAAAGCGCGCGUAGGCGGUCUGAUAAGCCGGUUGUGAAAGCCCCGGGCUCAACCUGGGAACGGCAUCCGGAACUGUCAGGCUAGAGUGCAGGAGAGGAAGGUAGAAUUCCCGGUGUAGCGGUGAAAUGCGUAGAGAUCGGGAGGAAUACCAGUGGCGAAGGCGGCCUUCUGGACUGACACUGACGCUGAGGUGCGAAAGCGUGGGUAGCAAACAGGAUUAGAUACCCGGGUAGUC
rnacentral:rRNA from 1 species